ACAUCCAGAGAAUUUAGCAGAGAUGCUUUAGUGCCUUCGGGAACUCUGAGACAGGUGCUGCAUGGCUGUCGUCAGCUCGUGUUGUGAAAUGUUGGGUUAAGUCCCGCAACGAGCGCAACCCUUUAUCCUUUGUUGCCAGCACGUAAUGGUGGGAACUCAAAGGAGACUGCCGGUGAUAAACCGGAGGAAGGUGGGGAUGACGUCAAGUCAUCAUGGCCCUUACGAGUAGGGCUACACACGUGCUACAAUGGCGCAUACAAAGAGAAGCGACCUCGCGAGAGCAAGCGGACCUCAUAAAGUGCGUCGUAGUCCGGAUUGGAGUCUGCAACUCGACUCCAUGAAGUCGGAAUCGCUAGUAAUCGUAAAUCAGAAUGUUACGGUGAAUACGUUCCCGGGCCUUGUACACACCGCCCGUCACACCAUGGGAGUGGGUUGCAAAAGAAGUAGAUAGCUUAACCUUCGGGAGGGCGUUUACCACUUUGUGAUUCAUGACUGGGGUGAAGUCGUAACAAGGUAGGCGUAGCGAG
rnacentral:rRNA from 1 species